GUUGUCGGAUUCACUUCAAUCUAUGUGUUGGUGUGGAUUGGGUGAAAUUUAGUUCAAGUUCCACUUCAAUUUAUCUCAACACAUGUGGAUUGAUAUGAAUACGACU
rnacentral:pre_miRNA from 1 species